UGCUGGUCUGCCUCAGGUACAGAAGGGCGACCUCUGUGCCAUUUCUUUGGUGGGGAACAGAGCCCCUGUAGCCAUUGGAGUUGCAGCCAUGUCCACAGCUGAGAUGCUCACGUCAGGCCUGAAGGGAAGGGGCUUCUCUGUGCUCCACACUUACCAGGACCACUUGUGAUGGAGUCUCGCUCUGUCGCCCAGGUUGGAGUGCAGUGGCGUGAUCUCAGCUCACUGCAAGCUCCACCUCCCGGUUCACUCCAUUCUCCUGCCUCAGCCUCCUGAGUAGCUGGGACCACAGGCGGUCUGGAAACAAGUCCUCUCCACCUUCCAUUGCUCCACUGGCCCUGGAUUCAGCAGAUCUCAGUGAAGAGAAGGGGUCUGUCCAGAUGGACUCCACCCUGCAGGGAGACAUGAGGCACA
rnacentral:lncRNA from 10 species